CCUACGGGAGGCAGCAGUAGGGAAUAUUGCUCAAUGGGGGAAACCCUGAAGCAGCAACGCCGCGUGGAGGAUGAAGGUUUUAGGAUUGUAAACCGCUUUUGUGAGAGAAGAUAAUGACGGUAACCAAGGAGAAAGCUCCGGCUAACUACGUGCCAGCAGCCGCGGUAAUACGUAGGGAGCAAGCGUUGUCCGGAUUUACUGGGUGUAAAGGGUGCGUAGGCGGUCUUGCAAGUCAGACGUGAAAGCCACAGGCUCAACCUGUGGACUGCGUUUGAAACUGUGGGGCUUGAGUGAAGUAGAGGUAGGCGGAAUUCCCGGUGUAGCGGUGAAAUGCGUAGAGAUCGGGAGGAACACCAGUGGCGAAGGCGGCCUACUGGGCUUUAACUGACGCUGAGGCACGAAAGCAUGGGUAGCAAACAGGAUUAGAUACCCCGGUAGUC
rnacentral:rRNA from 1 species